AAAACUAGCCAGUCUUUUGGGUAUGAAACCCAUUUGGNAACCCAUUUGGGCGAGAGUAGUACUAGGAUGGGUGACCUCCUGGGAAGUCCUCGUGAAAGGGUUUC
rnacentral:rRNA from 1 species